rnacentral:rRNA from 1 species
GAGUAACGCGUGGGAAUCUAGCUAUCAGUGGGGAAUAACGACGGGAAACUGUCGCUAAUACCGCAUACGCCCUGUGUGAGGAAAGAUUCGCUGAUAGAUGAGCCCGCGUAGGAUUAGCUAGUUGGUGAGGUAAUGGCUCACCAAGGCUACGAUCCUUAGCUGGUCUGAGAGGAUGAUCAGCCACACUGGGACUGAGACACGGCCCAGACUCCUACGGGAGGCAGCAGUGGGGAAUAUUGGACAAUGGGCGAAAGCCUGAUCCAGCAAUGCCGCGUGAGUGCUGAAGGCCUUAGGGUUGUAAAGCUCUUUCGGGUGGGACGAUUGACGGUACCACCACAAGAAGCCCCGGCUAACUUCGUGCCAGCAGCCGCGGUAAUACGAAGGGGGCUAGCGUUGUUCGGAAUUACUGGGCGUAAAGCGCACACAGGCGGCUCGUUAAAUUAGGAGUGAAAGCCCU